rnacentral:lncRNA from 1 species
UGCCGAAUCGUAGACCGGAGAAGCAGCUAACAAGAGGCUAGCAGCCCUCAUCAAUAGCAGCGGAGUCGUUCACAAGAACUGCCUAUUCUAUCUUAUAUUCCGCAACCUAGAAAGCGAGAAAGAGAAGUCCUUUCAUUAAGCCGAAGUGAUCAACGAAGACCUAAGAGCGGAUGGCGAAUCCUUUAUCUCUUGGCUUGGGUUUACAAAUAUUAAAGAGAGGAACCUUGAAAUAGGAACUCCAAGGCAAUUAGUAUAUAUGUAUUGUAUAAGAUAAUUUAUGUAUUCGUAUUAUAUUUUACAUAAAAAUUAAAUUUUAUAAUUCAUGUCGAUAUAAAAAUAUAAAAUAUUUUUUUUUAUUUUAUUAAAUUUAUAUAUAAUUUUUUUUAAAUUAAAAUUGUAUAUUUUGUAUUUUUCAUGUAAUAUCAUCAUGUUGUGUUUUAAAUUACUAAAUAUAAAGACAAUCUAUUAUUCUUGGUGUGUGCACAUGUUAUUUUCUUGCACCUCUAAGUCAAAAAUCACCAUUAAUUAUAUAUUAUAAAUGUGAAAGAUUAAUUUAGCUUUGUGUGAUCUAUAUAGAAUUACAAACUAAACCAAAAAAAUUUAACAAAUUAACAAAAUUACAAACCAAACCAAAUAAAUAAACAAAAUUUCCGUCCAAACAAUACAUUUUUCAGCAAAUCCUUUAGUAGAAUCAUGAAUGUGAGAGAGCUUGUGUGGAUCUCCUUCCAAGUUCAAUUAGUUUUUUAAAACUAAUGCAUGCCCUUUUUCUAAAACCUUGUGCCUACUUCCACCUUAAUUCAUGAUUUGUUGCAUUUCUCUAAACGAGGAACCCAUAUUUCAAGAACCACUCAAGUGAAUGUUAUGUUUGAGAAGAUGAAUUUGAGAUUGGAUGAUCAAGUCUGUAACGUGUCAUAAUAUAUAGAUCCGUAAAUCUAUAACUAGAUUUAACAAAUGGAGUUGCCAUCAAUUUUUUUUACUAAAUGUGAUUGGUCACUUAAAAAAUCUAUCCUUUUAAAGAGCUCAUAAGCUUGACUAAGGGUCCCUAAAAGAAUAGAUUCGAGUUUACAAACCAAAACAGGGUUCGUGAGUUCGAUUACAUGUGGAUAAAGUUAUAACACUCCCACAUGCUCAUCCGAAUGAUGGUACCAUAUUAUUUUAAAUUUAUCCUAAAGUCUUGAAUCUAAUGGUUUCACAAUUUUAUGUUAAAUAUUGAAAAUAAUUAUAACAUUCUUCCAUCAAUCUAGUAGAAUUCUUAAAAAUAUUUUCUCACCUUAAGAAUAUUCAAGAAUCUCAUUUGUUUUCUUGAAGAGACUCCUCGUCGAAAAAAAAGUUUAUUUAUUAUUCUUUUUUAUUGAAAAUAUAUCUAAUUAUUCCAACAUUUGAGCCAAAUUAGAAAUUUUAUUUUUUUGAAUUUCUAAAUUUUCUACCAUUUGGGUCUAUUUAGAAAUUCUCUCUUUAUUUUUUUUUUUUAUUUCUAAAUUUUUCAUCAUUUGGGACAAUUUAGAAAUUUUUUUUUUUUUGAAAUUUUUAAAUUUUUCACCAUUUGGGCCUAUUUAGAAAUUCUUUUUAUUUUUUUUUUUUUAGAAAGAAAAUAAUAUGAUAAUUAUUUUUAUUAAAAUUUCAUUUAAAUUUUUUACUAUUUCAGACAAAUUUAAAGAAAUUUCUCACCUAGAGAUUUCUUAAGGAAUUUAUCAUUUGAAAUUUUUAAGAAUCUCAUCCUUGGAUAAUUAUCGAAUAUUUUCAACCCAAAUUUUUAUUUUUAUUAUUUUUAUUUUUUUGGAUUGAAAAUAAAUAUUAAUUAUUGUUAUUGAAACUUUAUCUAAAUUAUUCCACAAUUUGGGAUAAAUUUAAACAAAAUUUCUCAUCUAGAAAUUUUAUAAAAAUUUACCAUUUAAAAUUUCUAUAAAUUUCAUCAUUGGAUAAUUAAUAUUUAUUCUCAAACAAUAUUUUAUUAUUUUUUUUAAAUUUAAUCAUGCAAAAAAAACUAAAAAAAUCCAAAAAAAAACCCAAAAAUGAAUCGACUCGGCUUGUGGCUGUAAUUCAGCUUAGUUACAAGGAUCAGCUAAUACGCAGGUUAAAAGUGGGUCGUGCUGUGGGUCGGGUCACCCGAUGAAAAACACGUAGAUCCUAGGUCUUCUUAAACUCCAAAACAACGUCGUUUUGGUGACGUUAUAAAAUGCUGAGUUUCAGCUCCUCCCCUCAGAUUUCUCAUUCUCUUUCUUUCUCUUCCCCAUUUUCUUCUCUCAUUCUCUCUCUAAUUGGAUGAACUCCGAUUGAAUCAUUCAUCGAAUUCUGGAAAUCCCAUCGAAAUCUAGGUUAGGUUAUCAGAAGUUCACUGAAAAAUUCAAUCAGUGCCAAAAUCUUCAAACCAGAUUUUGGGAAACCUGUUAGAAAAUUCAAACAAUGCCAAAAACUAGCCAAAAAAUUUAACUAGCAUUGAAAAAUUCAUCAAAAACUAGAAAUUUUCUAGAUUUUUCCAAAAAACCCCCUUUUCCUAAACCCAAAAGUCUUCAAAAAAAUUUUUACUACUUUCUGCAUGAUGUGAUUCUAUGAUUUUUUUUUUGUUUUUUAUUUUUGCUCUUUUCAACACCCUUUUUUUUUUGCUUUUAUUUUUCUAUACAUUCUUUUGAUCUUUGUGGAAGCAUCUAUUUAUAGGGUUUUGAUUCAAAGAAUCCUAAACCUGAGAAGAGUUUCACUCCCUUUUAAUUUCAAUUUCAAUCUUUAAAUCCAAUCUAAACACCUCACAUAUAGUCCUGCACAAACUCAUAGUUUUUUUUUUCCAUUUUUUCCAUUUAUCAUUUAUUUAAUCAAUAGAAACCAAAUUGAGUAGAACCCCAAACAAAUUAGGGUAUCUAUAGCUGCCCCUCUUUGCACACUUUAUGUGAAACAAUAAUUGUGCAAAAACGUAAACAACCUAAUUAACUCAACACACUUAUUUUUGUUUGUUUUUUUGUUUUUUUUUAUUUUUUUUAAACUUAACAAAGCUCUUCUAAACAGUGGUUCAACGACUUUUGAAAAUAAAUUAAGCUCAUCUAAACAGAGGCACCAUAAUUUUUGAAAAAUAAAAUGCUCACCUAAAUAAAGGCACCACUACUUUGAAAAAUGCUCAUCUAAACAAAAGCACCACAACUUUUUGAAAAAUAAAUUGUUCCUCUAAACAGAAGCACCACAACUUUGUAAAAUAAAUUUCUCCUUUAAAUAGAGGCACCACAACUUUGAAAAAAAAAAAGCUCCUCUAAACAAAGGCACCAUAACUUUAAAAAAAUAAAAUGCUCCUCUAAAAAAAGGCACCACAACUUUGAAAAUCAAAAUGCUUUUUAAACAGAGACACUGUAACUUUGAAAAAAUAAAAUGCUCCUUGACGAUUAUGUCUAAGGGAGUCAUAAAUUAGAUCUGAUGAAAUUUGUAACGGGAACUCAAAUAUUCACAAUUUGAGCUCAAAAAUCAAAGAUUCAGAUUCGCAAGAACCUUUCAACUUCACAAGAAUUCAUUGAAAUUUUAUUCUCAAAAUUUUAGUUUCAUAAGAAUUCAAAUUUGCAAGAUUUCAAAAUUCGCAUUUGCAAAUUGUAAGAUUUGCAUCCAAUAUUUAAAGAUUUUCAUUUGAAUUUUAAAAAUUCAUAUCCAAAAGUUUAAAACUUCUCAUUCGAGUCCAAAGGCUCAUAUUUGACAAAUAAUUAAGGUUUCACACCUCAAAAUUCUCAUUUGAAAUUCAAAGAUUCUCAUUUGAGUUUAAAGAUUCACAUUAGACAAAUUUUGGGUUUCACACCUCAAAGAUUCUCAUUUGAGUUCGAAAAUUCACAUUCAACAAAUUUUGAGUUUCACACCUCAAAGAUUCUCAUUUGAAAUUCAAAGAUUCUCAUUUGAAAUUCAAAGAUUCACACUUGAAAACUCAAAACUCAAAAAUUCUCAUUUGAAAAUGCCUUAAAGAUUAUCAUUUAAGACUCAAAGAUUCUCAUUUGAAAACUCAAAGAUUCUCAUUUGAAAUUCAAAAAUUUUUAUUUUAGGAUUCACAAUCUUGUCUUAAAAGACCUUAUUAAAAGAUUCAAAAUUUCUUUUCUAGAUGACUAUCAAGCUUUUACCAAAGUCAAAAUUUUGUAUGUAAUAAAUGUCAUGAUCAAUGAUGCAAAUGCUUUCUUAAUGAUGCAAAUGCAAAAAUCUAGAUUCUCACAAUGCCAUAUUUUCAAUCAUGAUUCAAAUAUUUACUGCAUAAUGCAAAUGAAUAGCUAAACCAAAGUUUCAAAUAUUCUCCAAACAACAAUGCAAAUGCAAUGAAUAUAAUGUGGAUGUCAAUGUCAUGAAAUUCUAAUAAAAAUGGUAACAUGAUUCUCAAGACCCCAUCAUUUCACCUUUUUCCCAAUUUUAUCUUUUCAGCAAUCUAAAAUAAAUUUUGUCAAUCGAUUCUUGUCAUUUCCAUCACUUGAUCAUCAUUCACAAACUUCUCAGCAUUAGCAAUUUCAAAACAAGUUUCUGUCUCCUUCACUCGAUUGCCACCCAUUGGCUUCUCAGCAUAAACCAAUUUAGAACAAGUUUCGUUCAUUAAUCUAUAUUAUUUUAAUCAUUUAAUCAUAGCUAACAAGCUUUUUAGCACUAGCCAUUUCAUCAAUUGAUCCACAUUUUCCAUGACUUGACUCAUAGGCUUAUCAACACUAACAAAACAAAUUUCAUCCCUUGCUCUACACUAUUUUCAUCUUUUGACCACAACUCAUAAGUUAUGUUGACCAAUUCAUCCUCAUAUUCAUUACUUGGCCAUAUCACCUUUUCAAAUUUUACCCUUUCUUCAUCACCAAAUUUAUCAUUUGGUCACAACAUGCGUCCUUUCAAAUCAUAUUUUCAAGUUUUUACACUUUUUUCAUUUUUUCCCUUAUCAUCUUGGAUUCUUUUUCAAAGGAAUGCAAGCUUCUUUUAUGCACAUUGUCAUUCAUUUAUUAUCAUUUCAAAUCAUGACAAAUAUAAUGUAACCAUACAUUUUUUCGAUUUAUUCUGGGGAUACAGUAGUAAAAGAGCACAAGGAAAAUUGAGAGAAAAGUAAUUAAUGAGGAAUGAGUUUGUACAAAAAUAAUUGGGCAAAGAAUCAAAUUUAAAGCAUAUCCUUAUGAAUCGUAUUGAAUAAAUAGAAUAAUAAUAAUGAAUACUCAACAAUUUUUAACAUUAAUCCAGAAUUCUUUUUCAAAAACUCAUUCCAUUGGCUUUUCAAAAUCACAUUGAGCUUAUUGAACUUUGCCCUAGUUUUGAGGGAUCUUCAGAUAUCUUUAACCUUUCAUACAUGUGAACUAUCUAUCCAACUCUUAACUCAGAGAUUUUUUACCCAAAUAGCCCUUUCAGGUUUUCAAUUUGAGUUUUUCUUUUCUCUCAUUUUCAUCUUUUUUCCAUUCUUUCAUUUUUUUUUUCUUUUUUUUCUUUUUUUUCUUUUUCAUCUUUUGCCAUCCAUGAGUGGUAUCUCUCACACUUUAAUCUCUAAAGCAAUGUAGCACAAUUCCAUUAUUUCAUCACAAGUAUGCCUUAGUCCAACAUAUGAUCAUUCAAUUUGAUCAUUCACACUUAAUCCAAAUAGACUUUUAAAGGUUGUAAUGUAGGUUAUGGUGAGGGGUCAUAGGCUCAAAACAUGUGUUUAAAGGGUUCAAAACCAAAGAAUCAUUUCUUACCAUUUGAUACAACUUGGCAUUUUGCCCCAUUCCAUAUCAUUUCCCUACUUUUAUAAGCAACCAACUGAAGUCCAGGGUGAUUCCCAUAUAUCCCUUCAUGAAUUUCUCUUAAGACUUAGUUUGCUUCUUCGUCAUCCAUACAUCAUAAGUAGGAUAGGUUGAAAGAUUUUUUGUAUAAUUUUUUAUUAAUUAUCGUGUACCAAGAAACUUUUCUUAUUAAGAAUUUAGCUCAAACCCUAUCUUAAGUAGCUUUCCUAUAGUUAGUUAUGUAUUGAUGGAGGUCAUCCAAGUUUCGUUUUCCUUAAUCUCUCCAACCAGUUUCUAUUCAUUACUUUUUUGUGUCAAUUCUUCCACUAAAACUUGGCUUGAGUUCUCUAUUAUUAUCCUUAAAGCCAAUUUGGAUAGGGAGUCAACAAGUGAGUUUUUAGACCUUGGUAUUUUCUUCAACUCGACUUUUUGAAAACAAAUGAUAAGAGCCAGUGCUAUUUUUAAAUAUCUCUAGUUUCUUUUUCACGAGCUUCAAACUCACUAUUUAUCUAAUUGACCACUAAUUAAGAGUAGUUGUAUAUGAUUAUAUACUUAACAUUUAGUUUAACUACUAGUUUUAAGCCAAUUAUCAGUGCUUCAUGCUCGACCUCAUUAUUAGAUACCUUGAAUCUAAAUUUUACUAUGUACUGAUAUUGUAAGCCUUCUAGGCUUAUCAAAAUAAGGCCAACUUUUUGCUAUGGCUAAUGGUUGAUCUACUAACAAAAAGUUUCCAUUUUUUUUUCUAUAACUUUCUCAUUUUUUUUAGGUUGUUCAUCAAGAUGAGCCAAUGUGAGCUUUACAACUAAAUCUACUAGCACUUAAAAUUUUAGGGUCAACUUAGGGAGUAUAUGUAAGUCGAAUUCACUAAGCUCUACCUUUUACUUGAUUAGUCUUUUUUAUAGUUCUAGCUUUUAUAAGACCUACCUAAGCAAUCGGUUAGUCAAUACAUGAAUUGUGUGAGCUUGAAAAUAUGGCUUAAGUUUUUUGGCACACCUAAAUAAUCGCAUAUACUAAUUUUUCUUAGUGUUGUUUAUCUAUGACCCUGUUAGUACCUUGCUCAUAAAGUAGAUCAGCUUCUAUCUUCUUUUUUUUCGUGGAUCAAAAUUGAACUGAUGGCCUUGUCAGUAAUGGUUAGAUAUAGGUAUAAGAUCUCGUCAGACCUUGACUUGAAAAUGAUGGGUGAAGAGGAUAAGAACUCUUUAAGCUCAUCAAAUGCUUUUUGACAAUAAGGGUCCAUCUAAAAUUAAAGAUGUUAUAAGAUUUUAAAAAAUGAUAGGUAUCGUUCUAUCGACCUGGACAUAAACCUGCUCAAGAUGGCUAUUUUUUCAAUUAACCUUUACCUUUUUUAAUCAAGGUUGGUGCUUUUAUGUCUAAGAUUGCUUGAACUUUCUUUAGGUUCACCUCUAUCCCCCUUUGUUAAUCAUAUAGACAAGAAUUUACCUGACGUGACUCUAAAGGUGCACUUGCUUAGAUUAAGCCUUAUGUUGUAUUUUUUUCAAGAUGUUAAAGGUCUCUUCGAGAUCCUUCAAGUAUUCGAUCAGGCUCUUACUUUUUACUAUCAUGUUGACUACAUAUACCUCUAUAUUACAGUCUAUCUGAUUUUUUAAGACCUUCUUAACCAAUCUUUGGUAAGUCAUCCUUGUAUUUUUUAAGUCAAAAGGCAUCACAUUGUAGUAAUAAAGACCUUUCUCAGUGAUAAAAGUAGUUUUUUCCUAUCUUCCUUUUAAUAUUUAAUUUGGUUAUACUUAGAGUAGGCAUCCAUAAAACUAAAAAGGUCAUGCUAGGUACUGUUAUCCACUAAUCGAUCGAUGCUAAGAAAAAGAAUAUCAUUUUUUGGGUAUGUUUUGUUAACGUCGGUAAAGUCAACAUACAUCUUCUAUUUUUUACUAUGCUUAUUAACCUUGAUCACAUUAGUGAUUCAUUCAAGGUAAUAAACCUCUCUAAUAAAGCUUGUUUACAAUAGCUUGCCAACCUCCUCUUCAAUAAUCUUUUGUCUUUCCUGGGCAAAGGUCUUCUUCGUUUACCAAACUAAUUUUAAUGUUUGAGUUAGUGUGCAACCUAUGGAAUAUUACAUUGAUAUCAAUUUCAGGCAUAUCAGACGAUAUUCAGGCAAAUAAAUCGGUAUUAUUUCUUAACAGUUGAAUUAACUAUUCUUUGUGUUCAAGUUUAAUUCCAAUUUACAUAUGUUUUUCAAGAAUGUUCUCCCAAAGUGGUAUAGUUAUAAGGUCUUCCAUCGGCUCAAGUCAAUUUCCGUAUGAAUCAGGUCUUUGAUUAAUUAUUUUUUUCUAUUUAGUCAUGUGGAGACCAUUUUUUAUAAAGAUAGAUCCUAACUUGAAGAUUAGUUUAUUAUUGAUAAAUGAUCAGAAUGUAAGAUUGAACAGAAGGUUUGUAUUUUUCAUUUUAGUCCUUUCUUUUGGCCAGCGUAUUAGCUCAGUCCUAAAAACAUGUAAGUAUUCAUGCUAGCUUAAGAGCUCGUUCACCUUUAAGAUCUAUUCAAAAGUUUUAAAAAUGAAACAAAAAAUGUAUCUUCUAUUGAGCUUAAGAGCUUAGAGUAGUUUAAGAGUGUUUUUUUAUUAGGUCAAUUUUAUGUUGUAGGUAUUUACUCAUAUUUUCUCAUUUUUUCCUCAAUUUCUGUUGUCUACUUCUCUUUUUAACUUUUUCGAUCUUAGCUAAACUAUCGAUCUACUUUUCAGUCCUUCUCUUCAUUAUUGUGACGUAACAUUAUCGUACCGUAAACUGAUCUCUUCUUACCUCUCCAACCCCAUGAGACAUUAGAAAUUUUACCUUUAGAUAAAGAGCUAAGCCUAUGAGCCAUAUAAUAGACUAACUAUAUCAGUCCAAUAUUAUAUUUUAGGUAAAUAGGAUGUUUAUAAUUAUAAAUUCUAUGACUAAUGUGACUGUCCUUGAUUCCAUCCCCAAAGAGAUCGAUAAUUUAAUAAUCUUUUUUACUAGUAUAUGCUCAUUCCCAAAUCUAAUUAGGGUCAUGGUGAUCGGUUGUAACUGAUCUUCUUUAAUUUUCAUCUUCUUCAUGGUGGCAUGGCACAUUAUGUUGGUCAAACUUUCAUUAUCAAACAAGAUCCUUUUAACCGCGUAAUUUUACACCACUACUAUGAUCAUUAUGGUAUCAUCAUGGGAUAUUAAAUUCUUUUCAAGUCUUUCGAACUGAAUGAGAUCGAUUGGUUUUUUCAGUCUUUCUUUUUUUUUAUUAAUAAGUUAAUAAGCAUGACUAUGUCUUGAUUAGAUUUUUUUUUAACCGAGGAGAGCUCAUUCUAAUAAUCAUGUUAAUUUUUCAAUAACUAUUUUGUUAUCGGUAGUUUGGCCUUUCUUCUGUCUUUGCCCAUCUCUUUGAGUUUUUUUUCCUAUUUUCUUUUGGCCUACCUUCUUUAUCCCUUAUAGGUUCUCUUUAGUCCCAUCUAUAGUCGAUUUAUUUUACCCUUGCUUUGGUCAAUCUAUAAACUAUCGCAUCUAACCUCUUAUGAUCAAAGCUUCAAUCUCGUUUUUGAGGUUAACACAGUCUUCAAUGUUGUGACUUAUAUCUCUAUGGAAGGCACAUCUUUUGGUCGAAUCCCUCUUUAUGUUUUACCUCAGUAGCUUUGAUAAUCUAAGCUUUGGAUUUCUUUUGAUUUGUGUCAAAAUCUUCUAUCAAGAGAUAUUCAAUACAAUAUAAUUUUUUUUUCUAUUAGGGCUUAUGGCCCUAUGUAGUCUCUCUCUUAAGGAAAGAUCAUAGAAAUCUUUAUCUUUUUUACAACCAAGGAAGAGGAAUGAGCCUCUUUCACCUAGGCCACCAAAAAGAAGGAUGAGCCUCUCUCACGUCGGUUAUUUCUUAUUGUAGCUUCAAUAUUUUAUGUAUUUCUCAGCUAUAAGUAGGACGUUGGUCAAAGUCUUGGACGUCUUUAAAGAAAAAGUCAGCUUGAUGUGGUAUUCUUUGUCAUUGAGUCCACUUGUUUUAGGUCUUUCACUUAUAAGGUUUUCACAUUAAAAUACGUGAUAUAAUCUUUAAAGAUUCAUUCCAACCUUGAUGAAUCGACAUCAAACUUAAUGUCAUCUUUUUCAUUCUUCGACUACUUACAAAUUAAGACCAGAAAAAUGGUUGAGCUCUUUAAAUAUCACGAUUGACCUUAGUUUUUGGCCACUAUACUAUGAUCAAGCUCCGCCCUUAAGGGUAGUAGCAAAGCCUUUACACAUCAAAGCUUCAUUUGCACCAUGCAUCAUCAUAUUAGUUUUAUAAAGUUUAGAUAAUCAAAGGGAUCAAAAAUACCAUCAUAAAUUUCUAAAGUCGACAUUUUGAACCCUUUUAGAGGCAUAACUUUGUCAAUUUCUUCAAUGAAGGGUAAUAUUUCCAAAAUUUUGAGCUCACACUCAAAAGCUACUACCUUCACUUUUAACUCUUUCUCCAUGGCUUACAUCUGAGCUUUCAAGUCUCUGUUUGGUUGGGGUUCCAGGUCAAUUUAUUUUGAUCUUUAGGUUGUAGUGUUUAUUGAGUUGUGACUUUGGUAGUGGUGAGCGAUUGGAUAUCAUGGUCUUCUUUCCUGAAAGUCGAGAAGGCUUUUACCUCUUCAUAGCUUGAUUGCCUUUCCAUAACUUAUUGGCUAGAGGUGAUUAGGUCAAGUACCUUUGAGGCCUAUAGUGAAGUUAUAAUCUAUAACAUUUGCUUAAGAGCUUGUAUUUGCUCGGUUAGAGCCUAAAAUUGGUCCACGGUUGGACCAGCCUAUUAUAGGGCAGAUCGAUCUUAAUGCUAGCUAUUAUGUGUUUCUAUUCUGACCAGGGUGGCAGUCUCUCUUUCCUCCAAAACUCUUUUCUUAUGUGACAUUUUCUUAUGCCCGGUUGAUGAAUAGAAAGCCCUUACCUGGCAUGCUAAAUGUUAGUGUUGAGCUCCAAUAUGAUAGUACUCUUGGAAGAAUAAGAAAGAGAAAAGAGCGAUUAGAUGCGAAGGUUGGGAAUAUUCCCUGCUUUUAUACUUUGACACACAAGUUAAAGAUCAAAAUGAAAAGAGAUUGAAAUGAGAGAAAAGCAAAUGGUUAAAGCAAAAUAGAACCUGGGAUAAUAAUACAUUGAUGUCUUUAUUUUUUGAUGAGAGAUAAAAGACCAAUGGGAAACAAUAGUGAUGUGGUCAAACUAAUGUAGUACUAAACGUGUCAAGUCAGCUCAAAUAUCUAAAAUACCCUUAAUUAUUUACAAGAGUCUCUAAUGAGUAAAAGACUAUCAUACCCUUUGAACCACUAAAUACUUCCAACAAAAGCAUUAUUUGUCACAAUUACAAGCAAGUGCUCCAUGCAACAACAAAACAAAACAUCUAAAACCAAUCAUUUCAAUGUACUAUUUAGUUAAAGAAAAUAAAGUUUCUAUGAAUCCCAUUAAGUUCUUCAUUUUUAAAGAGGAAAAUGGACAUUUUAUUUUGUAUAUUUUUUCUCUGAUUAUGUCUAUCCAUCCCUCUAAAUAUUUUUUAAAAUUUUUUUUAUAAGAUUUGAAUUAUUAUUUUCAACAAAUUAAAUUUUAACAUGCAUGAUAAAGAGUAUUAUCAAGUUUACGAUAAAUAUGAUAAUUUUUAAAUAUGAUAUAAAAAUAAAAUGAAAAUGAAAAUAAUGAGUUAAUAUUUUAACAAAAAUUAUAUAUAUUUAGUAAAAAUUAAAAAAAAUUGGUAUUUGAUAUAACACGUAUUUAACAUAAUUAUUUUUAUAUUUUAUUCAUAUUUAACAUAAAAUAAAUAUAAUACAGAUGCCCGAAUGUUCAAACUACAACCAAAAACAGGAUUUUUUUCACCUAAUAAUCCUGCAAAAAAACACAAGCAACAAUCAUAAAUUACUCAUCAAAAACCAUAAUUAUCUUUCAAUAUAAAUUAUUGGAAAAAAAAUAAUUGCUGUCUUUCACAGUUGAAAAGGCUGCCAAGUUCACAAAUUGAAUUGUACAACUUAUCCAUGUGUUUCACAUCCUUAAAAACGUUAGUCGUAUUUGAAAUUGAAGCUUCAUGAGAAAGAGACAGGAAGUUUCCCUUCUCAAUUAACCAAGGCUUCCAACUAAGACAGCAUUCUAAAAUUUGAUUCAUGAAAUGUCCCCACAUAAAUUAAUUUAAUAAGAAAAAGAAUAUCAUUUUUUGGGUAUGUUUUGUUAAGGUCGGUAAAGCCAACAUACAUCCUCUAUUUUUUGCUAUCUUUAUUAACCUUGAUCAUAUUAAUGAUUCAUUCAAGGUAAUAAACAUCUUUAAUGAAGCUUGUUUACAAUAGCUUGCCAACCUCCUCUUCAAUAAUCUUUUAUCUUUCUUGGGCAAAGGUCUUUUUCUUUUACCAAACUGAUUUUAAUGUUUGAGUUGGUGUGCAACCUAUGGAACAUUACAUUGAUAUCAAUUUCAGGCAUAUCAGACAAUGUUCAGGCAUAUCAGACAAUGUUCAGGCAAAUAAAUCAGUAUUAUUUCUUAAAAGUCGAAUUAACUAUUCUUUGUGUUCAAGUUUAAUUCUAAUUUACAUAUGUUUUUCAGGAAUGUUCUACCAAAAUGGUAUAGUUAUAAGGUCUUCCAUCGGCUCAAGUCAAUUCCCGUCUGAAUCAGGUCUUUGAUCAAUUACUUUUUUCUAUUUAAUCAUGUGGAGACCAUUUUUUAUAAAGAAAGAUCCUGACAUGAAGAUUAGUAUAUUAUUGAUAAAUGAUCAGAAUGUAAGAUUGAACAGAAUGUUUGUAUUUUUCAUUUUAGUCCUUCUUUUGGCCAACGUGUUAGCUUAGUCCUAAUAACAUGUAAGUAUUCAUGCUAGUUUAAGAGCUCGUUCACCUUUAAGAUUUAUUCAAAAUUUUUAAAAAUGAAACAAAAAAUGUAUCUUCUAUUGAGCUUAAGAGCUUAGAGCAGUUUAAAAGUGUUUUUCUAUUAGGUCAAUUUUAUGUUGUAGGGGCUUACUCAUAUUUUCUCAUUUUUUUCUCAAUUUUUGUUGUCUACUUCUCUUCUUCAACCUUCUUGAUCUUAGCUAAACUAUCGAUCUACUUCUCAGUCCUUCUCUUCAUUAUUAUGACGUAACAUUAUCGUACCGUGAACUGAUCUCUUCUUACCUCUCCAACCCCAUGAGGCAUUAAAAAUUUUACCUUUAGAUAAAGAGCUAAGCUUAUGAGCCAUAUAAUAGACUAACUAGAUCGAUCCAAUAUCAUAUUUUAGGCAAAUAGGAUGUUUAUAAUCAUAAAUUCUGUGACCAAUGUGACUGUCCUCGAUUCCAUCCCUAAAGAUAUCGAUAAUUUAAUAAUCCUUUUUACUAGUACCGCUCAUUCCCAAAUCUAAUUAGGGUCGUGGUGAUCAGUUGUAACUGAUCUUCUUUAAUUUUCAUCUUCUUCAUGGUGGCAUGGCACAUUAUGUUGGUCAAAUUUUCAUUAUCAAACAAGAUCCUUUUAACCACGUAAUUUUACACCACUAUUAUGAUCAUUAUGGUAUCAUCAUUGGGUAUUAAAUUCUUUUCAAGUCUUUCGAACUGAAUGAGAUCGAUUGGUUUUUCCACUCCUUGUUUUUCUUUGUUGAUAAGUCAAUAGGCAUGACUAUGCCAUGAUUAGAUUUUUUUUUUUUUAGCCGAAGAGAGCUCAUUCUAAUAAUCACGUUAAUUUCUCGAUAACUAGUCUGUUAUCGGUAGUUUGGCCUGUCUCCUGUCUUUGCCCAUCUCUUUGAGAUUUUUUUUCCUCUUUUCUUUUGGCCUACCUUCUUUAUCCCUUAUGGGUUCUCUUUAGUCCCAUCUAUAGUCGGUUUAUUUUACCCUUGCUUUUGUCAAUCUAUAAACUAUCACAUCUAACCUCUUAUGAUCAAAGCUUCAAUCUUAUUUUUGAGGUUAACAUAGUCUUCAAUGUUAUGACUUAUAUCUCUAUGAAAGGCACAUCUUUUGGUCGAAUCCCUCUUAUGUUUUGCCUCAGUAGCUUUGAUCAUCUAAACUUUGGAUUUCUUUUGAUUUGUAUCAAAAUCCUCUAUCAAGAGAUAUUCAAUACAAUAUAAUUUCUUUUUCUAUUAGGGCUUAUAGCCCUAUGUAGUCUCUCUCUUAAGGAAGGAUCAUAGAAAUUUUUAUCUUUUUUACAACCAAAGAAGAGGAAUGAGCCUCUUUCACCUAGGCCAUCAAAAAGAGGGAUGAGCUUCUCUCACCUCGAUUAUUUCUUAUUGUAGCUUCAACAUUUAUGUAUUUUUCAGCUAUAAGUAGGACGUUGGUCAAAGUCUUGGACAUCUUUAAAGAUAAAGUUAGCUUGAUGUAGUAUUCUUUGUCAUUGAGUCCACUUGUUUUAGGUCUUUCACUUAUAAGGCUUUCACGUUAAAAUACGUGAUAUAAUCCUUUAAAAAUUCAUUCCAACCUUAAUGAAUCGACAUCAAACUUAAUGUCAUCCUUUUCAUUCUUCAACUACUUACAAAUUAAGACUAGAAAGAAUGGCUGAGCUCUUUAAAUAUCACGAUUGACCUUAGUUUUAGCCACUAUACUAUGAUCAAGCUACGCCCUUAAGGGAAGUAGCAAAGCCUUUACACAUCAAAGCUUCGUUUGCACCCUGCAUCAUCAUAUUAGUUUUAUAAAGUUUAAAUAAUCAAAAGGAUCAAAAAUACCAUCAUAAGUUUCUAAGGUCGACAUUUUGAACCCCUUUAGAGGCAUAACUUUGUCAAUUUCUUCAAUGAAGGGCAACAUUUCCAAAAUUUUGAGCUCACACUCAAAAGCUACUACCUUCACUUUUAGCUCUUUCUCCGUGGCUUACAUCCGAGCUUUCAAGUCUUUGUUUGGUUGGGGUUUCAAGUCGAUUUAUUUUUAUAUUUGGGUUGUAGUGUUUAUUGAGUUAUGACUUUGGUAGUGGUGAGCAACUAGAUAUCAUGCUCUUCUUUCUUGAAAGCUGAGAAAGCUUUUACCUCUUCAUAGCUUGAUUGCCUUUCCAUAACUUAUUGGCUAGAGAUGAUUAGGUCAGGUACCUUUGAGGCCUAUAGUGAAAUUAUAAUCUAUAACAUUUGCUUAAGAGCUUGUAUUUGCUCGGUUAGAGCCUAAAAUUGGUCCCGGUUGGACUAGCCUAUUAUAGGGUAGGUCGAUCUUAAUGCUAGCUAUUAUGUGUUUCUAUUCUAACCAGGGUGGCAGUCUCUCUUUCCUCCAAAACUCUUUUCUUAGGCGACAUUUUCUUAUGCCCGGUUGAUGAAUAGAAAGCCUUUACCUGACGUGCCAAAUGUUAGUGUUGAGCUCCGAUAUGAGAGUACUCUUGGAAGAACAAAAAAGGGAAAAAAACGAUUAGAUGCGAAGGUUGAGAAUAUUCCCUGCUUUUAUAUUCUGACACACAAGUUAAAGAUCAGAAUGGAAAGUAAGGUUGGCAUCGGGUCAGGUUCGGGGUGGGUUUUGCUCGCCCCGAACUCGACCCCACUUUAUGCUUUAUUAAACUCGAAUUCGACUUUACCCGAAAAUUAUUUUGUUUUUUCAUACCCGAACCCGACCCGAUAUUAUGUAAAUCGUACUUGACUCGACCCGACCCGACCCGAAAUUAAUAAAAUAUUAUUUUUUAAAAUAUAAAAUAUUAUUUUUUAAAUAUAAAUAUUUAAAAAAUAUCAUUAUAUAAAUAUAUAAAUAAAUAAAAAAUUAAAUAAUUAAUUAAAAAUAUUUUUUUAUAUAAUAUCGAGUCGGAUCGGGUUUUAGGUAAACCCAAACCCAACCCGACCCGACCCGAAACUCGAAUUUCAAAAAAAAAAAAAAUCGACUCCAUAGGGUCGAGUCAGGCCGAAACCUGUCAAGAACGGGUUAGUUCGUCGUCCCUAAUGAAAAGAGAUCGAAAUGAGAGAAAAGUAAAUGGUUAAAGCAAAAUAGAACCUGGGAUAAUAAUACAUUGAUGUUUAUAUUUUUUAAUGAGAGAUAGAAGACUAAUGAAAAACAAUAAUAAUGUGGCCAAACUAAUAUAAUACUAAACGUGUCAAGUCAACUCAAAUAUCUAAAAAACUCCUAAUUAUUUACAAAAAUCUCUAAUGAGUAAAAAACUAUCAUACCCUUUAAACCAUUAAAUACUUCUAGCAAAAGCAUUAUUUGCCACAAUUACAAGCAAGUGCUCCACAACAACAAAACAAAACAUCUAAAACCAAUCAUUUCAAUGUACUAUUUAAUCAGAGAAAAUAAAGUUUCUAUGAAUCCCAUAAAGUUCUUUAUUUUUAAAAAGGAAAAUAAACAUUUUAUUUUGUAUAUUUUUUCCUGUUUAUGCCUAUCCAUCCCUUUAAAUAUUUUUUUAAAUUUUUUUUAUAAAAUUUGAAUUAUUAUUUUCAACAAAUUAAAUUUUAACAUGCAUGAUAAAGAGUAUUAUCAAGUUUAUGAUAAAUAUGAUAAUUUUAAAUAUGAUAUAAAAAUAAAAUAAAAAUAAAAAUAAUGAGUUAAUAUUUUAACAAAAAUUAUAUAUAUUUAGUAAAAAUUAAAAAAAAUUGAUAUUUGAUAUAACACGUAUUUAACGUAAUUAUUUUUAUAUUUUAUUCAUAUUUAACAUAAAAUAAAUAUAAUACAUAUGCCCGAAUGUUCGAACUGCAACCAAAAACAAGAUUUUUUUCCACCUAAUAAUCCUGCAAAAGAACACAAGCAACAACCGUAAAUUACUCAUCAAAAACCAUAAUUAUCUUUCAAUAUAAAUUAUUGGAAAAAAAACAACUGCUGUCUUUCACAGUUGAAAAGGCUGCCAAGUUCACAAAUUGAAUUGUACAACUUAUCCAUGUGUUUCACAUCCUUAAAAACAUUAGUCGUAUUCGAAAUUGAAGCUUCACGAGAAAGAGACAGGAAGUUUCCCUUCUCAAUUAACCAAGGCUUCCAACUAAGACAACAAUCGUGGCAUUCCAAAAUUUGAUUCUUGAAAUGUGCCCCACAUAAAUUAAUUUAAUAAGAAAACAAACUAAAUUAUUGCACUUCUAUAGUUUCAAUUUAUCACGAAAUUAAUUAAAUUUCAUUUCUCCAUUUGAAAUAAAAGCAUAAGCGAAUCAAUUUCUCAUUGCACUUCUAUAGCUUCAAUCUAUCACGAAAUUUAUUAAAUUUCAUUUCUAAAAGCAUAAGCGAAUCAAUUUCUCACAGUAGAGUGUUUCACUUAAAAUUUAAAAAUAAUAAAAUUUUAAAAAUCUUUAGAAUAUCUUAAAAUUUUUUUAAUAUUUUACAUCAAUAAAAUUAAUAAAUUCGUAAAUAAUUAUGGUAGAUAUGAACUUUCAACAUUUUAGAUAAAAUGUCGAUGAUCUCACAAAUAGUAAUAUUAAAAAGGAUGCAGUCGAUAAUAUUAAUAAUCAUGUAAUUAUUUUUUAAAAAUAUAAAAAUUUGUAGUAACAAUUAUAAUAAUAUAAUAAUAAUUACUUUAAAUUUUAUUUAUAAUUUUUACAAAUAUUAUAAAUAAACACCCAUCAAAAAAAUCUUAAAUCAACAUUAAAAAGGGGAGAUUUAUUUACCGUUUCUCGGAACCAAGUGGAUUCAUUUUUUUUUUCAACAAUUUCAAUGGUUUCAUUUUCUCAAAAAAGAAAAGAAAAAGGAAAACCGUGACUGUGAUUUUCCGAUGAAAAUGAAGGAGGGAAGCUGGGAAAGCACGUGAGCAAUUAGAGAAGAAGAAAAAAUAAUGGGCAUGAAUCCUCUGGAUUUGACCAAACCCAUUCACCUUGGAUCAUCAAAUACGGGUCUAAUCCCACUUGAAUAAUAUCCUUUAUGCUACUUAUAAAUUGAGGGGUGAGGGAAAAGAAGGGGAAAAACAAAGGAGAAAUAAAAAAAAAAAAAAAUUUCUUAUUUAAUUUAUCAUUUACAUUUUAAUAAAGGAAAGAAAGUUGAGCAUCUAUCCUUGUUUCUCAAAAGUUUCAAUUUUUAAUUAUCUUAAAUUGAAAUAAACUAAAAGAAAAGGAAAGGAUUAAAAUUUUUUAAAUAUAAAAUAAUUUUUAUAUUUUUAUUAUAUUUUAUUAUUUUUCAAAAAGUAUUAUUAUUAUAAUAUUUAAGCUUAACCAUUGCUACAACCUUUAAAUCUUUUGCAAUUCAUUCCUCAAUUUUUUUUUUCUAUUAAUAAUUUUGAAUUCUAUAUAUUUUUUAAUUUAUGGUUAGGUCUAAAUUUUUUUUUAUUUUGUUAUCACUUCACAAUUUCGAAUAAUAAAAUUAAAAGAAUAUGACGAAAUAUGUACAAUUGUACAAAAAUACUAAUACUUAAACAAAUUUAUGUUAGUUUUAUCUUAAUAAUAAGUCUUUAAAUAUUUAAUUUUUCUCAUUUAUAGAUUAAUUUUGAAAAAAAUAUUGUAGUAGAAAAUUAAUUCCAAACGUGCAUUUUUAUUUUUAUUUUUUUCUUAUUCUUUUUUUUUCCUUUCCUUUUUUUUAGUAACUUUAAUCCAAACAUAGACUUAAAAUUUAUGUUUGAUACAUUAUCAAUAUAUAGAUUCUUUACACUAUCGUUCAAUCAAAUAAUACAACUUCAUUAAUCACCAAACAUAAAUCUUUAUUAGCCAUUAAAAUAAAUACACAAACUUUUUUUUUAAAUCCUUACUAUUAAAUUGACAUCAUUAAUUAAUUGAUAGUGUAUAUAAUUUAUAUAUUAACAAUAUAUCAAAUACAAAAAAUAUUCUUUAACACUUUUUGUUAAUGCUAUUUAAUUUGUUAUUGUUCUUUUUUAUAUUUAAAAAAUUAAAUAGUGAAAUGAAAAAUAUAUAGAAUGAGCAAGGUAGCUCAUUAAUUUAACAAAAAGGUAAUUUUUUUCAAUAUUUCUCAAGGUAAAUUAAAUUAAUAAAAAAUCUUCAAAAUUGAUUUAUAGUAAAUUUUUAAAAUUUUUCGACAUAAAUUAAAUUAUGAAAUUUCCUUAAAAAGUAAAAAAUAAUAAACAAAAGUAUUUGUAUAAAGUAGUUUCAAUAAAUAUGAGUAAAAUAUCAUAAAGCUUUGAUGUUUAUUAGUAAUAAUUUAAUCACAUUUUGAGAUUUUAUUUUAAAUGAUAAUUUUAUUUUAUAAUUACAUUGUUAUCAUUAAAAAAUUUAUUAGUAUUUUUUAUUCCAUAAAUAAAUAUAUACGUUAAGUUAUGCAAUAAAACAUAAAAUAUUUUUUAAAUACAUGUAAAUAACACCUGCAACAGCAAUUAAUUUUCACAUAUUUAAUUUUCAUAAUUAAAAAAAUUAUGAUUAUAUUAACAUUAAUAUAUAUUAAAACAAAAUAAAUAAACAAUUAUGUAAAUAAACAAUUACUGUUUAACAUGAUUUAAUUUAAAAUUAUUUUUAAUUGUUAGUUCAAUGAAAAAUUAUAAAUAUAAAAAAUAUUUCCAGCGAAGCGAGGGAAACAUGUAGAUCUUUAUACAUUAAGGCAUUAGUAGUGUAUGACUCAUCAAUUGUUCAUCUACUUGUUCUACCCAGCAACUUCCGUGAAAGGCUGAUCCCCUUUCUAUUCAUUCAGAGAAGAAAAAAAAAAUCUAUGAUUCUAUAUGAUUGACAUCUACAAAUGGUGUCUUCUCUACUCAUAAUUGGGCAUGCUUAGAACUGGAAACGUUUUACUUACAAUUUUAUUAUAAUCUUGUAAUUAAUUAAUUAUAAUAAAAAUUUAUAUAAGAAUCUAUCUCUUAUAAAUGUGAAUUUUAUUUUAUUUUAAGGUAAUAAUUAAUUAUAAUGUAAUAAUUAUAAGUGAUUUACUUCUUUGAAAAAAUAGUUACCCUCCAUGGUGUCUGUUUGUGGUGUUAGUUAUUGAUUUAUAACAUUUUUUUAGUAAUGCAAUAGCUUUAUGUUUAAAUGGGAUAUAACAUUUAUGAUCAUAUUAACAUACUAAUAAUGUAUUAAAAUUUUUAAAUAUGAUAUAAUGAGAUAUGUAGUAAUCCUUUAACUUUUUAAGAAUAAAUAUAAGAUAGAAUUUUAUUAAAAAAAACAAAUAUAAUGUACACAUUUAUGAUCAAAUUGGGUUAUUGUAAUAAAUCAUACACAACUUCAAUCAAGCUCCACUUCAAUGGUACUUUUUUAUUUGGGAAUAAGGAAUACUUUUUUGGAUAAAAGGAAAAGGAAUAUCUAUCAGAAUUGAAAACCAAUCAGAAUAUAUACCUAUUCUAUUUGGCUUACAAAUUAAUUAUUCCUAGUUUUCUAUCUACCAUCGUCACAAGAGUAUAUCAUUUAUAGUAAUUAUAAUAUAAUUAAUUAAUUACAAUUUAAAAUUAUGUGAGGUCGAUCAAAAUUUUAUAUAAAAUUAAAAUUUAUAAGUGAUAGACCAUUAUAUAAAUUUUUAUUAUGAUUUGAUAAUUAUAACAUUAUAAUAAAAAAAGUUGUAAUUGAAUACCACAUCACCACUUUUUUUAUAAUUAAAUAACAUAAGCAAAUUCCCUUUUAUAUGUUAUAUAUAUAAUUACCUUUAUUAUUAUUAUUAUUAUUAUUAUUAUUAUUAUUAUUAUUAUUAUUAUUAUCAAGAUUAAAUACAAAAAUAGUUCAUAUACUAUAUACUUUUUAUCAAUUUAAUAUUUUAAAAAAUAAAUUUCAUUAUUAGGUAUUGAACUUUCAUUCUAUCAUAUGCUUUCAUAUUCCAAAUUAAUAUUAUAAGUAAAGUUAUUGACAUGACAUAAAGCUCAAUCAUCAUCGUAUCAUUGUAGCCACGUUAAUGUUAGAAGAAAUUUUCAAAAAAUACAAUUAAAAAAAUUCAACUACCUAUAUAUUUUGCACAUAAAAUUACAAAUCCAAUCAUUGUAAAAAAAAUUUAAUUCUAUUGAACUUUUUAUUUCUAAAGCUAAACCUUUUAAUGAUUGCUUUUAUUCUUUAUUUUUUAAAAAAUUUAUUAGUUAGAUUUUAAUAGUUCUUUAAAUAUUCAACAAAUUCCUUUUACAUGUAAAAAGAUAUUUAUAAUUUUUUUAUUUAAUCAUAUUAUUAUUAUAACUUUAUUUAAUAUUAUAUUUUUAUUACAUUUUCAUCAAUUCAUCUUAUUUUCAUAUCGAACCCUCCAAAACAAAAAAUAUGGUUUCGCCCCUACUCUUAGUUACUGAAUUAUAUCAAUCAAGAUUAGAUUAACUCUGUGUAGGGUAAAGUUUGAGGAAUCAAUUCAGUGCGAUCAGAUGGCGACCAUGGUUCAGUAUCGUUUCUCGAUGACAAGGCAAUUUGCUUACAUGAGUUUGAGCCACCGUUUCAAAGCACAAUCGGCAGAUGUUGUUGCAUCCCCUCGAAACCAAGGAAUCCGCUUUCUGCUCUCGAAGAUUUCCAGUUCCAAACUCCAUAAUUCAUGUGGUGGAGAAGGCGGUGGAAACAAUGGUGUUGGUCGUAGCUUAGGAGGUAGAGGAGAUGAGAAUUCCAACUCCAAAAACAAAUAUUCGUGGCAGGAUUUUGGCAUUCUGGGUGUUUUCCUAAGGGGAUGGAGAAACAGGGUUGCAGCAGAUCGGCAGUUUCCGUUCAAAGUUUUAAUGGAACAGAUGGUGGGAGUCAGUGCUUGUGUUGUUGGGGACAUGGCUUCUCGUCCUAAUUUUGGUCUUAAAGAGCUUGAUUUCGUUUUCUCAACUCUUAUUGUCAGUUCCAUUCUGAAUUUCACUCUCAUGUAUCUCUUGGCACCAACAACCUCAGCUUCUUCUUCAACUCUCCCUGCUAUCUUUUCAAAAUGUCCUCCAAGUCACAUGUUUGAACCUGGUGCAUACACCUUCAUGAACCGUUUUGGGACUCUUAUCUUCAAAGGGGCAGUUUUUGCUGCUGUUGGAUUUGGUGCAGGCCUUGUUGGAACUGCAAUCUCAAAUGGGUUGAUCAAAAUGAGGAAGAAAAUGGAUCCCAGCAGCUUUGAAACACUCAACAAACCUCCUCCUACCUUGUUGAAUGCCCUUACUUGGGCUAUUCAGAUGGGCGUCAGCAGCAAUUUGAGGUACCAAACCUUGAAUGGGAUUGAGUUCCUGUUGGCCAAGGGAGUCCCCCCCUUGGUAUUUAAGUCAUCAGUGGUGUUUCUGAGAUGCUUAAAUAACGCCGUCGGAGGAAUGUCAUUUGUGAUAUUAGCAAGGAUGACAGGGUCACAGAGUGUCGUUGUGGAGAAGCCAGCAAAAGUGAAGGUUUGAUCUGCUGUCCAGAAGGAGAAAUUGGUGGACGCAUUUGACAAUUUGGACACCAAUGAAUUAGUUAUUUGGUACUUUUGCAUGUUAUUUUAGUCAGUUUCCCAGGCUUUGUCUAGCAUGCGAUCAUAAUAAUUGUAAUAAGAUCCGAGGUGUAUCCGGAUAUGAUGAAAGAGAAAACUGACUUGUUUGAAAUUUAGUCUUAAAAAUAUAUUUAAAGAGCUGAAAUAAAAUCCCCAUUCCUCUAAUUAAAAAUGAAAAAGAAAUCUUUGACUUGAUCCCAUUCAAUAAAUAUACCGGUAAAGCCUAAUAUAAGAAUGCCGAAUCGUAGAGCGGAGUUAUGAAUAGCAGCGGAGUCGUUCAGAAGAACUGCCCACUCUAUUUUAUAUUCCGCAACCUAGAAAGCGAGAAAGAGAAGUCCUUUCAUUAAGCAGCAGUGAUCAACGAAGACCUAAGAGCGGAUAGCAAGUCCUUUAUCUCUUGGCUUGGGUUUGCAAGUAUUAAAAGGAUGGGCCUUGAACUGGGAACUCC